GGAGAUUUAGCUCAGCGGUAGAGCGCUUGCCUAGCAAACACAAGGCCCUGGGUUCGGUCCCCAGCUCCG
rnacentral:tRNA from 1 species